UCAUCUUCAAUAAGGCUCCACAUCUCCUUCAGGCUUUCCGUGCAUCGUCUUCCCACCUUCAAUCAGUCUUCCCAUCUUCAAUCAGGUUCCAUGGCUUCACCAUCCUACACAGCAGUAUGAAUUUGUAUUUGUAAAUAUUUUCAUGGUACUGUUGAUUGAAUUAAUCUAUUUGGUAGUGAACCCUAUUUUGCAUAAAACCUCUGAUAAUUUCAUAUGGGCAAUUCCUAGGACAUAGUAGAUCCAACAACCUGGUAAUCUGUUAAUCUAAAUGAUAACACGUACUGUUGAAGGAAAAAUUAGAGGCAACUCUGAUUAGGGAGUACCGUAAAUAUGAACAUGUGGCACAUAAGAGAAUCAAAUUGCACUAUGAAUGCCUAUAUACAUACUAAAAUGAUCUAACACCGAACCACAAUUAGAUUAUCGAUGACUAUAUAUAUCAAGUGCAGUAGUUAACUUUUCAUGACAAGGAUGCAGUUUAAAGCACACUAUAAGGAUAAUUUUCCAUAAGUAUCAAUCAUAUUUAUCCAGAAUAUAUAGUGUGCAGUAAGAGCUAAGCAGUAAGCAGAUGAAGAUUAGAAUACCUUGUGAUGUCAUCUGAUGUUGAUAGCAGUACGUGGGGCAAGCGAGACCAGAUUUAAUAGCAAAUUAAAGAUCUUGGCAGCAACCUAGUAAAAUAACUGAUAAGGGAUGUGA
rnacentral:lncRNA from 1 species